CACAAAUAGUGAUGGUAUGGCGUGCCCCCCAAAAAUAAACAGUGCUAACCACACAGCACAGUAUUUUAUAGGAUAUUAGUGGUAGUUAUUUCUAAAUUAGUUUAAAUGAAAUAUUAAUGCACACAACCCAAAAUGUUACAUUACUGUACUUCUAAGUUACCACAGAUGGUGGGCAUGGGGGGACAGAGGAGCUAAUUCCCUUUGCCCUCACUGUCUAAAAUAAAGCACAAAAAAUUGAGGGAAGGCAAAUCUGAAUUUGGAAUGUAGGCAUAUACAGUAUUUAAAAUCUACUGUUUAAAAUUUUACAAGUCUGUAGCAUUAUUGGCAUCAAAGAUGGAUACUUCUAUAGUGCUUGUUUUAUAUCCACAUAUGCUGAAAAGGACAGCCAAGCCAUGUGACAGUUUACCUACCAACCCACCCCUUCUACAGAGAAGAGAACCAAGAUUUAACACUGAUUUAUUCAAGGUCCCACCAAAUAGAAGCAGAUCCUCUAUACUCUGAAUAAGCAGUGGCUCCCAUAUGGCUGCAUACUGCAAUCACCUUAAGAGCUUUAAUACUGCCUAACUUCUGAGACAUUUGCAUUCACUGACACUGGGCAUGACUAUGGGUGGCUGUAUCGUUCUUAAAGUUUCCAAGUGAUUUCAAGGUGCAGAAAAAUUUGGGAAUGACUAAGAUCAGAACCAUUAGUUGUAAAAUCAUCUUUUUUGUGAGUGCUUAUAAAUGGAGGGUAAAGCAGAGGUGGGAAAAGGAAUGUGCCUGAAGACAUACAUUUUAAAACAAGGGAUUCAAAUGAGAUUAAUCCAUUUUAUUGAAGAAAUGUACUACUACUCUGCAAUGAACAUUUUGAAAAACUUUUCAUAAAGUCUAAUCCACCCUAUUGCUUUUCUUAGUAAGCCUUUAUUUCACC